rnacentral:tRNA from 1 species
GCUCCGGUGGUGGAAUUGGUAGACACGAUAGGUUUAGGUCCUAUUGCCGCAAGGCGUGGGGGUUCAAGUCCCUCCCGGAGUACCA